rnacentral:misc_RNA from 1 species
UUUCCGUAGGUGAACCUGCGGAAGGAUCAUUAAAAAAUAUCGCUCGAUUGAGAGUGAUUUAAUAAUCAUCCUACCCUUUGCGAAUUUGUUUGUUUGAAAUAAUUUUUUUUGAUUUUAAAAAAAAUUAUUUAUGGUUUUGUCUAUCCCUAAAUUGGUUUGUUUGUUGUAAAAGACAAGUGAAUCAUUUAGGGAAUGGCUUUCAUAAAUAAGUUUUUUUUAAAGUCUUAAAAGACCUUUUUAAAAUUAAACUUUUGUAUUCAUUUGUCUAAAUUUUUUUUAAAUAAUUUAAAAACAACUUUUGACAAUGGAUCUCUUGGUUCUCGCAACGAUGAAGAACGCAGCAAAAUGCGAUAAGUAAUGUGAAUUGCAGAAUACGUGAAUCAUCAAAUCUUCGAACGCAUAUUGCACUUUUUUAGUUUACUAAAAAAGUAUGUCUGUUUGAGUAUCAGUAAAAUAUUCUCAUAAAAACAUUUUUGUUUUUAUGGUUAUGAGUGUUUUACAACGAUAAACAAGUUGUUUCACUUUAAAUUCAUUUUAAUUUAAGACCAUUAUGGUUUUAAUAAUAAAAUUGGAUAAAAUUUUCCCGUAAAAAGGAAUAAACUUUUCAGUUUUUAUUAGACAAAUCACGGUCCGAUUUAAAAGGAAAUUUAUUUAAAUAACUUGAUCUCAAAUCAGAUAAAAGUACCCGCUGAACUUAAGCAUAUCAAUAAGCGGAGGAAAAGAAACUAACAAGGAUUCCCUUAGUAACGGCGAGUGAAGCGGGAAGAGCUCAAAUUUGAAAUCUUCAGGUUCUACCUUGACGAAUUGUAGUUUAAAGAAGUGUUUUCUGUUAGAUGAGUAGCAAAAGUUCCUUGGAAUGGACAUCAUAGAGGGUGAGAAUCCCGUAUUUGGUUAUUCAUUCUAGCUUUGUGAUACACUUUCAAAGAGUCGGAUUGUUUGGGAAUGCAGUCCAAAAUGGGUGGUAAAUUUCAUCUAAAGCUAAAUAUUGGCGAGAGACCGAUAGCGAACAAGUACCGUGAGGGAAAGAUGAAAAGAACUUUGAAAAGAGAGUUAAACAGUACGUGAAAUUGUCAAAAGGGAAGCGUUUGACACCAGUGUUGUUUUUCCGAAAAUCAAUUACGAAUGGCUUGAUUUUGUGUUGUAUUGACCUUAUCAGCUUUCUUCACUUUUUUCGAGUCUUUCUUAAUGUACUUUUCGGUUAACAAGUCAACAUCAAUUUCUUUUGUUGUAAAAGAGUAUUCGGAAGGUGGCUUUCUUUUCGGAGAAAGUGUUUAUAGCCCUAUACUUCUACAAUCGGAGAGAUUGAGGUCUGCAGCGUAGAUCCUUCGGGGUUAGACACAUUGUGCUAAGUUGUAGCUUUUCAUAGACAACUUGUUGACUAUGUUUAGUCAUGCGGCUUACUCGCUUAUGCUAUUU